rnacentral:rRNA from 1 species
UACGUAGGGGGCAAGCGUUGUCCGGAAUCAUUGGGCGUAAAGAGCGUGUAGGCGGCCAGGUAGGUCUGCUGUGAAAACUCGAGGCUCAACCUCGAGACGUCGGCGGAAACCAUCUGGCUAGAGUCCGGAAGAGGAGAGUGGAAUUCCUGGCGUAGCGGUGAAAUGCGCAGAUAUCAGGAAGAACACCCGUGGCGAAGGCGGCUCUCUGGGACGGUACUGACGCUGAGACGCGAAAGCGUGGGGAGCGAACAGG